rnacentral:sRNA from 1 species
CGGCGAGUGAAGCGGCAAAAGCUCAAAUUUGAAAUCGGCCACCAGGUCGAGUUGUAAUUUGUAGAUUGUAUCUUGAGAGCGGAUUAAAGUCUGUUGGAACACAGCGCCUUAGAGGGUGACAGCCCCGUAAAAUCUAUUCUCAUUGUAAGAUACUUUCGAAGAGUCGAGUUGUUUGGGAAUGCAGCUCUAAGUGGGAGGUAAAUUCCUUCUAAAGCUAAAUAUUGACGAGAGACCGAUAGCGAACAAGUACUGUGAAGGAAAGAUGAAAAGCACUUUGAAAAGAGAGUGAAAAAGUACGUGAAAUUGUUAAAAGGGAAGGGUAUUGAAUCAGACUUGGUGCUGUUGUUCAACUGUGUUUCGGCAUAGUGUACUCAGCAGUACUAGGCCAAGGUGGGGUGUUUGGGAGUGAAAAAGAAGUAGGAACGUAACUCUUCGGAGUGUUAUAGCCUACUUUCAUAGCUCCUCAGGCGCCUCAGGACUGCGCUUCGGCAAGGACCUUGGCAUAAUGAUUCUAUACCGCCCGUCUUGAAACACGGACCA